GGCCGUCUGCAUGUGCAUCAUCUGGUAGUAGGAGAUGGUCGCCUGAGGGAGAUGGGGCAUAGGCAGUGAGGUCAGCAGUUUGCACGGGUAGCUGCGCAGCCUGCCAGCAGCCAGAGCCUGGGAGCACCUGGCACCCACCGACUUGAUGGUCUGGUCACUCUGCCGGAUGACCUCCUGGAUCUGUCGAAGCGCCGUCACCUUGGUGUCCUCCAGCUCCUGCUUCUGUGUCUUGGCAUCCGCCACACAGGUGCGCCGCCCCAUGACACAGGCACUGUCAUCAUCCCCAUUUUGCAGAUGAAGAAACUGAAGCACAGAGAGGGAAAGUCAUUUCUCAAGGAUCACACAGCUUUUCCACCUACACUAUGUUUGAAGGCAUGAGAGCGACACACAGAAGGACCCUGCCUGGCUUUAUCUCCAGGGCAAAGGGGAACCCUAGGCCAGUGAUGGUGAACCUAUGACACGCCUGUCAGAGGUGACACGCGAACUCAUUUUUUUGGUUGAUUUUUCUUUGUUAAUGGCAUUUAAAUAUAUAAAAUAAAUAUCAAAAAUA